rnacentral:rRNA from 1 species
UACGUAGGGUGCGAGCGUUGUCCGGAAUUAUUGGGCGUAAAGGGCUCGUAGGCGGUCUGUCGCGUCGGGAGUGAAAACUCAGGGCUUAACCCUGAGCCUGCUUCCGAUACGGGCAGACUAGAGGUAUGCAGGGGAGAACGGAAUUCCUGGUGUAGGCGGUGGAAUGCGCAGAUAUCAGGAGGAACACCGGUGGCGAAGGCGGGUCUCUGGGCCGAUACUGACGCUGAGGAGCGAAAGCGUGGGGAGCGAACAGG